rnacentral:rRNA from 1 species
AUUGAACGCUGGCGGCAGGCCUAACACAUGCAAGUCGAGCGAGCGGGGGACAGGUGUGUAAUAUGUGUGGGUUGCCCGAUAGAGGGGGAGAUCUACUGGAAACGGUAUCUAUUACCCCAUACGACAUGAUAGUGCAUAUGGGAUUAGCUAGUAGGGGGGGUAAUGGCUCACCUCGGCGAGGUACCCUAGCUGGUCUGAGAGGAGGAUCAGCCAAACUGGGACGAGGACACGGCCCAGACUCCUACGGAGGAAGCAGUGGGGAAUAUUGCACGAUGGGCGCAAGCCUGAUGCAGCCAUGCCGCGUGUAGGAAGAAGGCCUUAAGGUUGUAAAGUACUUUCGGUCAGGAGGCGUUACCGGAAGAAGAAGCACCGGCUAACUCCGUGCCAGCAGCCGCGGUAAUUC